UGACUGACUGAGGCUACCUUGUUACGACUUCACCCCAGUUAUCCGUCCCGCCUUCGACAGCUCCCUCCUAUAGGUUGGGUCACUGGGCUUCGGGCGUUACUGACUCCCAUGGUGUGACGGGCGGUGUGUACAAGACCCGGGAACGUAUUCACCGCGGCAUGCUGAUCCGCGAUUACUAGCGAUUCCAGCUUCAUGUAGUCGAGUUGCAGACUACAAUCCGAACUGAGACGUUAUUUUUGAGAUUUGCUCACACUCACAUGCUCGCUUCCCUUUGUUUACGCCAUUGUAGCACGUGUGUAGCCCUGGCCAUAAGGGGCAUGAUGAUUUGACGUCAUCCCCACCUUCCUCCAGGUUCUCCCUGGCAGUCUCUCCAGAGUGCCCAACCGAAUUGCUGGCUACUG
rnacentral:rRNA from 1 species